rnacentral:rRNA from 1 species
CUACGGACGCUGCAGUGGGGAAUCUUAGACAAUGGGCGCAAGCCUGAUCUAGCCAUGCCGCGUGAGUGACAAAGGCCUUAGGGUCGUAAAGCUCUUUCGCUGGGGAAGAUAAUGACGGUACCCAGUAAAGAAACCCCGGCUAACUCCGUGCCAGCAGCCGCGGUAAUACGGAGGGGGUUAGCGUUGUUCGGAAUUACUGGGCGUAAAGCGCGCGUAGGCGGAUCAGAAAGUUGGGGGUGAAAUCCCGGGGCUCAACCCCGGAACUGCCUUCAAAACUCCUGGUCUUGAGUUCGAGAGAGGUGAGUGGAAUUCCGAGUGUAGAGGUGAAAUUCGUAGAUAUUCGGAGGAACACCAGUGGCGAAGGCGGCUCACUGGCUCGAUACUGACGCUGAGGUGCGAAAGCGUGGGGAGCAAACAGGAUUAGAUACCCCCGUAGUC